rnacentral:rRNA from 1 species
CUCGGAGUUUGAUCCUGGCUCAGAUUGAACGCUGGCGGAAUGCUUUACACAUGCAAGUCGAACGGUAGAGGGGGCAACCCCUCGAGAGUGGCGAACGGGUGAGUAAUAUAUCGGAACGUGCCCAGUCGUGGGGGAUAACGUAGCGAAAGUUACGCUAAUACCGCAUACGAUCUACGGAUGAAAGCGGGGACUCGCAAGAGCCUCGCGCGAUUGGAGCGGCCGAUAUCAGAUUA